AUUGAACGCUGGCGGCAGGCCUAAUACAUGCAAGUCGAACGAGUGGCGGACGGGUGAGUAACGUCUGGGAAACUGCCCGAUGGAGGGGGAUAACUACUGGAAACGGUAGCUAAUACCGCAUACCAUCGGAUGUUCCCAGAUGGGAUUAGCUUGUAGGUGGGGUAAAGGCUCACAUAGGCGACGGUCCAUAGCUGGUCUGAGAGGAUGACCAGCCACACUGGAACUGAGACACGGUCCAGACUCCUACGGGAGGCAGCAGUGGGGAAUAUUGCACAAUGGGCGCAAGCCUGAUGCAGCCAUGCCGCGUGUAUGAAGAAGGCCUUCGGGUUGUAAAGUACUUUCAGCGGGGAGGCGUGACCCGCAGAAGAAGCACCGGCUAACUCCGUGCCAGCAGCCGCGGUAAUUC
rnacentral:rRNA from 1 species